GAUGAACGCUGGCGGCGUGCUUAACACAUGCAAGUCGAACGAGAAGUGGAGACGGAAACCUUCGGGCGGAAGACUUUAUUUCGAGUGGCGGACGGGUGAGUAACGCGUGGGUAACCUGCCUCAUACAGGGGGAUAACAGUUGGAAACGACUGUUAAUACCGCAUAAGACCACAGCACCGCAUGGUGCGGGGGUAAAAACUCCGGUGGUAUGAGAUGGACCCGCGUUCGAUUAGCCAGUUGGCGGGGUAACGGCCCACCAAGGCGACGAUCGAUAGCCGAUCUGAGAGGAUGACCGGCCACAUUGGGACUGAGACACGGCCCAAACUCCUACGGGAGGCAGCAGUGGGGAAUAUUGCACAAUGGGGGAAACCCUGAUGCAGCGACGCCGCGUGAGUGAAGAAGUAUUUCGGUAUGUAAAGCUCUAUCAGCAGGGAAGAAAAUGACGGUACCUGAGUAAGAAGCCCCGGCUAACUACGUG
rnacentral:rRNA from 1 species